UACAGAGGUCUCAAGCGUUGUUCGGAUUCAUUGGGCGUAAAGGGUGCGUAGGCGGCGAGGUAAGUCGGAUGUGAAAUCUCAGGGCUCAACCCUGAAACUGCAUUCGAUACUGCCUUGCUCGAGGACUCGAGAGGAGAUUGGAAUUCACGGUGUAGCAGUGAAAUGCGUAGAUAUCGUGAGGAAGACCAGUGGCGAAGGCGGAUCUCUGGAGAGUUCCUGACACUGAGGCACGAAGGCCAGGGGAGCAAACGGG
rnacentral:rRNA from 1 species